rnacentral:rRNA from 1 species
GACGUAGGGCGCAAGCGUUGUCCGGAUUUAUUGGGCGUAAAGCGCGCGCAGGCGGUUUCUUAAGUCUGAUGUGAAAGCCCACGGCUUAACCGUGGAAGGUCAUUGGAAACUGGGAGACUUGAGUGCAGAAGAGAAGAGCGGAAUUCCACGUGUAGCGGUGAAAUGCGUAGAGAUGUGGAGGAACACCAGUGGCGAAGGCGGCUCUUUGGUCUGUAACUGACGCUGAGGCGCGAAAGCGUGGGGAUCAAACAGG